GGUUCUAUAGUAAAAUAUAUAAUAUUAGAUUGCAAAUCUAAAGAUGUGCUAGACACUGGAACUU
rnacentral:tRNA from 1 species